rnacentral:lncRNA from 1 species
CUGUUCGACUUCUGCUUAUCAACCUCCUUGAUACUACUGUCCUCUAUAGCCAAAGUCUCCCCAAUUCUCUGCUCUUCUAUUGUCUUGGCUGAGUUGAUCACUUUUCAACCCUUGGUUUUGCCGUAGGAUCUACUAACGCUUUUCCAGUCCUAACACACACGGCCUUGAUCGUCUCUUUUGGAUUUUUCUUAGUGUCGGAUGGAAGAGUCCCUUGAGCCCUUUCUGAUAAUAAUUAUGCGAUGUGGCUCAUUUGUGUUUCUAGAUUCCGGAUGGCUGUGCCCUGCUCCUAGAUAGCUAUUCCUUGAGUCUCAAGCGUCUCAUCUGAUUUUUGUAUGAAUUCCUUCAUUAGAUCUUCUAAACUUGAGUUUGUAUGUGGAGGAUGGUAAUGUUGCCUUUGUUGGUUUUGGAAGUUAGAAGGUCCUUGCACGGCUGCUCUAGGAUUUUCGCUGCUGC